rnacentral:rRNA from 1 species
GAUGAACGCUGGCGGCGUGCCUAAUACAUGCAAGUCGAGCGAACAGACGAGGAGCUUACUCCUCUGACGUUAGCGGCGGACGGGUGAGUAACACGUGGAUAACCUACCUAUAAGACUGGGAUAACUUCGGGAAACCGGAGCUAAUACCGGAUAAUAUAUUGAACCGCAUGGUUCAAUAGUGAAAGACGGUUUUGCUGUCACUUAUAGAUGGAUCCGCGCCGCAUUAGCUAGUUGGUAAGGUACAGGCUUACCAAGGCAACGAUGCGUAGCCGACCUGAGAGGGUGAUCGGCCACACGGGAACUGAGACACGGUCCAGACUCCUACGGGAGGCAGCAGUAGGGAAUCUUCCGCAAUGGGCGAAAGCCUGACGGAGCAACGCCGCGUGAGUGAUGAAGGUCUUCGGAUCGUAAAACUCUGUUAUGAGGGAAGAACAAAUGUGUAAGUAACUAUGCACGUCUUGACGGUACCUAAUCAGAAAGCCGGGGCUAACUACGUG